UACAGAGGUCCCGAGCGUUGUUCGGAUUCACUGGGCGUAAAGGGUGCGUAGGUGGCCGGGUAAGUUUGAUGUGAAAUCUCCGGGCUUAACCCGGAAACGGCAUUGAAUACUAUCCGGCUGGAGGGUUGGAGGGGGGACUGGAAUUCUCGGUGGAGCAGCGAAAUGCGUAGAUAUCGAGAGGAACACCAGUGGCGAAGGCGAGUCCCUGGACAACACUUGACACUGAGGCACGAAAGCUAGGGGAGCAAACAGG
rnacentral:rRNA from 1 species